rnacentral:rRNA from 1 species
UACGAAGGGGGCUAGCGUUGCUCGGAAUUACUGGGCGUAAAGCGCACGUAGGCGGCUUUCUAAGUCGGGGGUGAAAUCCUGGAGCUCAACUCCAGAACUGCCUUCGAUACUGGAGAGCUUGAGUCCGGGAGAGGUGCGUGGAACUGCGAGUGUAGAGGUGAAAUUCGUAGAUAUUCGCAAGAACACCAGUGGCGAAGGCGGCUCACUGGCCCGGUACUGACGCUGAGGUGCGAAAGCGUGGGGAGCAAACAGG